UGUAAUAUUUGAAGAUUUUUAUUAGGGAUGGCCACAUGCAGUAAACUGACAAAUUGAUCAGAAAGAUCAUACUGGGUACAAAUUCCAUAUAAAGCAGUCAACAUUUUUAGAAACUUUUGUGAUGAACUUACUUAAAAAUUGUGCAUUUUUUUAAAUGUAGGGUUCUGAUGAUGAUUGUAUACUCCCGAAAAUGGAAUUAUCAAGAUCAACCCAAAAGGAAAAGAGAAAACGAGACAUGAAAGCAUCCACAGAAUGUUAUGAUUUGGAGCCAUCAACAUCAAAGGAAUUAGAUGGGAAAGGGUC